rnacentral:rRNA from 1 species
AAGGUUAAGCCUCACGGUUCAUUAGUACCGGUUAGCUCAACGCAUCGCUGCGCUUACACACCCGGCCUAUCAACGUCGUCGUCUUCAACGUUCCUUCAGGACCCUUAAAGGGUCAGGGAGAACUCAUCUCGGGGCAAGUUUCGUGCUUAGAUGCUUUCAGCACUUAUCUCUUCCGCAUUUAGCUACCGGGCAGUGCCAUUGGCAUGACAACCCGAACACCAGUGAUGCGUCCACUCCGGUCCUCUCGUACUAGGAGCAGCCCCCCUCAGUUCUCCAGCGCCCACGGCAGAUAGGGACCGAACUGUCUCACGACGUUCUAAACCCAGCUCGCGUACCACUUUAAAUGGCGAACAGCCAUACCCUUGGGACCUACUUCAGCCCCAGGAUGUGAUGAGCCGACAUCGAGGUGCCAAACACCGCCGUCGAUAUGAACUCUUGGGCGGUAUCAGCCUGUUAUCCCCGGAGUACCUUUUAUCCGUUGAGCGAUGGCCCUUCCAUUCAGAACCACCGGAUCACUAUGACCUGCUUUCGCACCUGCUCGCGCCGUCACGCUCGCAGUCAAGCUGGCUUAUGCCAUUGCACUAACCUCCUGAUGUCCGACCAGGAUUAGCCAACCUUCGUGCUCCUCCGUUACUCUUUAGGAGGAGACCGCCCCAGUCAAACUACCCACCAGACACUGUCCGCAACCCGGAUUACGGGUCAACGUUAGAACAUCAAACAUUAAAGGGUGGUAUUUCAAGGUCGGCUCCAUGCAGACUGGCGUCCACACUUCUAAGCCUCCCACCUAUCCUACACAUCAAGGCUCAAUGUUCAGUGUCAAGCUAUAGUAAAGGUUCACGGGGUCUUUCCGUCUUGCCGCGGGUACACUGCAUCUUCACAGCGAGUUCAAUUUCACUGAGUCUCGGGUGGAGACAGCCUGGCCAUCAUUACGCCAUUCGUGCAGGUCGGAACUUACCCGACAAGGAAUUUCGCUACCUUAGGACCGUUAUAGUUACGGCCGCCGUUUACCGGGGCUUCGAUCAAGAGCUUCGCUUGCGCUGACCCCAUCAAUUAACCUUCCGGCACCGGGCAGGCGUCACACCGUAUACGUCCACUUUCGUGUUUGCACAGUGCUGUGUUUUUAAUAAACAGUUGCAGCCAGCUGGUAUCUUCGACUGAUUUCAGCUCCAUCCGCGAGGGACUUCACCUACAUAUCAGCGUGCCUUCUCCCGAAGUUACGGCACCAUUUUGCCUAGUUCCUUCACCCGAGUUCUCUCAAGCGCCUUGGUAUUCUCUACCUGACCACCUGUGUCGGUUUGGGGUACGAUUUGAUGUUACCUGAUGCUUAGAGGCUUUUCCUGGAAGCAGGGCAUUUGUUGCUUCAGCACCGUAGUGCCUCGUCAUCACGCCUCAGCCUUGAUUUUCCGGAUUUGCCUGGAAAACCAGCCUACACGCUUAAACCGGGACAACCGUCGCCCGGUCAACAUAGCCUUCUCCGUCCCCCUUCGCAGUAACACCAAGUACAGGAAUAUUAACCUGUUUCCCAUCGACUACGCCUUUCGGCCUCGCCUUAGGGGUCGACUCACCCUGCCCCGAUUAACGUUGGACAGGAACCCUUGGUCUUCCGGCGAGCGGGCUUUUCACCCGCUUUAUCGUUACUUAUGUCAGCAUUCGCACUUCUGAUACCUCCAGCAUACCUCACAGUACACCUUCACAGGCUUACAGAACGCUCCCCUACCCAACAACGCAUAAGCGUCGCUGCCGCAGCUUCGGUGCAUGGUUUAGCCCCGUUACAUCUUCCGCGCAGGCCGACUCGACCAGUGAGCUAUUACGCUUUCUUUAAAUGAUGGCUGCUUCUAAGCCAACAUCCUGGCUGUCUGGGCCUUCCCACAUCGUUUCCCACUUAACCAUGACUUUGGGACCUUAGCUGGCGGUCUGGGUUGUUUCCCUCUUCACGACGGACGUUAGCACCCGCCGUGUGUCUCCCGUGAUAACAUUCUCCGGUAUUCGCAGUUUGCAUCGGGUUGGUAAGUCGGGAUGACCCCCUUGCCGAAACAGUGCUCUACCCCCGGAGAUGAGUUCACGAGGCGCUACCUAAAUAGCUUUCGGGGAGAACCAGCUAUCUCCCGGUUUGAUUGGCCUUUCACCCCCAGCCACAAGUCAUCCGCUAAUUUUUCAACAUUAGUCGGUUCGGUCCUCCAGUUAGUGUUACCCAACCUUCAACCUGCCCAUGGCUAGAUCACCGGGUUUCGGGUCUAUACCCUGCAACUUAACGCCCAGUUAAGACUCGGUUUCCCUUCGGCUCCCCUAUUCGGUUAACCUUGCUACAGAAUAUAAGUCGCUGACCCAUUAUACAAAAGGUACGCAGUCACACGCCUAAGCGUGCUCCCACUGCUUGUACGUACACGGUUUCAGGUUCUUUUUCACUCCCCUCGCCGGGGUUCUUUUCGCCUUUCCCUCACGGUACUGGUUCACUAUCGGUCAGUCAGGAGUAUUUAGCCUUGGAGGAUGGUCCCCCCAUAUUCAGACAGGAUACCACGUGUCCCGCCCUACUCAUCGAGCUCACAGCAUGUGCAUUUUUGUGUACGGGGCUGUCACCCUGUAUCGCGCGCCUUUCCAGACGCUUCCACUAACACACACACUGAUUCAGGCUCUGGGCUGCUCCCCGUUCGCUCGCCGCUACUGGGGGAAUCUCGGUUGAUUUCUUUUCCUCGGGGUACUUAGAUGUUUCAGUUCCCCCGGUUCGCCUCAUUAACCUAUGGAUUCAGUUAAUGAUAGUGUGACGAAUCACACUGGGUUUCCCCAUUCGGAAAUCGCCGGUUAUAACGGUUCAUAUCACCUUACCGACGCUUAUCGCAGAUUAGCACGUCCUUCAUCGCCUCUGACUGCCAGGGCAUCCACCGUGUACGCUUAGUCGCUUAA